AUGCCAUGGGCCAGCUUCCAAGACCCCUUGGCCAACGGCAAGCUCCUCCCCAUCCUCAUGACCAAUCUCAUGAUUUGCCGCUCUUCAUCGAGGCCCAUCCCCCCUGAGGUCCAAGUCCUCUCCACCGCCUCCUGCUGCGCCGGCGCCGACGAGACCUCAGUGGAGCUCCUCUGCCUCAUCACCGGCUUCUCCCCGGCGGCGGUGGAGGUCGAGUGGUUGAUCGAUGGACAACCAGGCUACUUGACGGCCACCCAAAGCCCACCUCAACGGGAAGGGGGAGGAGCCACCUACUCGACCUCCAGCCGGGUCAACAUCAGCCACAUUGAGUGGGUGGAAGGGAAGAUCUUCACCUGCCAGGUCAAACACCCGGCGUCCCACAAGGUCAUCCAGGAGCACGCCCAGUACUGCCCAGGCAUCGUCAACCCCAGCAACAUUGUCCUCCACGUCCUUCCACCCAACGUGGCCGACCUCUACAUCUCCGGCGCCCCCAAGCUCCGUUGCUUGGCCGUCAACUUGCCCAGCGACUCUGGUUUCCAACUUCUCUGGAUCACGGAGAAGCCCGGGCUCCUCAACCCCGAUGUUUUGGACCUCCAAGAACAAUUUAAUGGCACCUUCACGGCCACCAGCACCUUGAGCAUCUCCCCCCAAAGCUGGGAAGCCGGCCACCACUUCACCUGCAUGGUCAAGUACCAAGAUCUCCCGGUGCCCCUCAACAAAACCAUCUCCAGGCACUUGGGCAAGGUCCUCCCGCCCUUCAUCUACGUCUUCUCGCCCCACCCGGAGGAGCUGACCCAAGCCCACGUCACCCUCACCUGCUUCGUCCGGGGCUUCCAACCCAACAGCCUCCAAGUCCAAUGGUUGAAGAACCACCAGAACCUCCCGGAGGAGGAUUACGUCACCACCCCCCCUCUCCGAGAAGGUCCCAAGGAGACCACCUCCUUCGUCUACAGCAAGUUGACCAUCACCAAGGCCAGCUGGGCCUCUGGAGACACCUACGCCUGCAUGGUGGUCCAUGAAGGGUUGCCCAUUAAGUUCACCCAAC